CGUGGGGAUGAGCUUUCUCAGCUCGGAGAAGGCCCCGUUGACGUUCUGCUGCCGCCAGCGCUCGCGGCUGUUGGUGAAGACGCGGCGGGCGAGUUUCUGAGGAGGACCUAUCAGACACACAGAGGAUAAACGCACACUUCUUGUGACGAGGGUCGCCUCUUGAUGCGGCUGUUGUUGAGGACGCCAUAGUUUCCUCCUACAGGACCCAGACAGAAAUUGAUGGAGACGGCAACAAGAUGGUGGGAGCUGUUAACUGAGGUGUGAUUGUGCUGCUGGCAUUGAUUAACUGUGCGCAUGCAGUGUCUUAGCCUGGUCUCAUUAAGGCUGAUUCUUCUUCACGGGCAUGAAAUAGAUCAAUGCUUCCUGUAAGAGACAAACCAAGCAGGGAAUCUUAUUCCCAGACCUUCAGGACAGAUGGGGAAACCAUAGAUGUGGAAAAAUCCAUGGCUGGUGCUUUUGUCUUACACUGUGGAAAAUCCUUUCCUUGGAAUAAGAUAAGAGUUUCCUACCAAAAAUGGGUUUAUUGUGUUACUGUAAAGGCUAA